GGAGAGCUGGCCGAGCGGCUGAAGGCACCUGAUUCGAAAUCAGGAGUGGGUUAACGCCCAUCGGGGGUUCGAAUCCCUCGCUCUCCGCCA
rnacentral:tRNA from 1 species